CGUGUAGGCGGCUCGUUAAGUCUGGUGUGAAAGCCCGGGGCUCAACCCCGGAAGUGCAUUGGAAACUGGCGAACUUGAGUACGGGAGAGGAAAGUGGAAUUCCGAGUGUAGGGGUGAAAUCCGUAGAUAUUCGGAGGAACACCAGUGGCGAAGGCGGCUUUCUGGACCGAUACUGACGCUGAGACGCGAAAGCGUGGGGAGCAAACA
rnacentral:rRNA from 1 species